rnacentral:misc_RNA from 1 species
UUUCCGUAGGUGAACCUGCGGAAGGAUCAUUACACAGUAUUAUCGGGGGCAGGUGAGCAGAUGCGCGUAAGCGUUCUGUCUCCUGCUCUGUCUGAUUCUACCCAUGUUUUUUGCGUACUUCUGUUUCCUCGGCAGGCUUGCUUGCCAGCAGGACACUUUCAACUCAUUGCAAUAGUAAUCAGCGUCAGAAUACUAUAAUUAUUACAACUUUCAACAACGGAUCUCUUGGUUCUG